rnacentral:rRNA from 1 species
CGAGGUUUUCGGACCUAGCGGCGGACGGGUGAGUAAUGCGUAGGAAGCUGCCCGAUAGAGGGGGAUACCAGUUGGAAACGACUGUUAAUACCGCAUAAUGUCUACGGACCAAAGUGUGGGACCUUCGGGCCACAUGCUAUCGGAUGCGCCUACGUGGGAUUAGCUAGUUGGUGAGGUAAUGGCUCACCAAGGCGACGAUCCCUAGCUGGUUUGAGAGGAUGAUCAGCCACACUGGGACUGAGACACGGCCCAGACUCCUACGGGAGGCAGCAGUGGGGAAUAUUGGACAAUGGGCGCAAGCCUGAUCCAGCCAUGCCGCGUGUGUGAAGAAGGCCUUCGGGUUGUAAAGCACUUUCAGUGGGGAGGAAGGGGUUGUAGUUAAUAGCUGCAAUUUUUGACGUUACCCACAGAAGAAGCACCGGCUAAAUCCGUGCCAGCAGCCGCGGUAAUACGGGAGGGUGCAAGCGUUAAUCGGAAUUACCUGGGCGUAAAGCGCACGCAGGCGGCUUUUUAAGUCGGAUGUGAAAGCCCCGGGGCUCAAACCUGGGAAUUGCAUCUGAUACUGGGAAGCUCCAGUAUGUGAGAGGGGGGUAGAAUUCCCGAGUGUAG